AGAGAGUACACGAUGAUGGUGCACAUGGCACUCAUAGUCAAGAAGUAUAUAUUGCAAGGAGGGCCAAUGCACCUACCUUUUUCUGUUCCUCCCUCCAAUAGUAUCUUAUCUUCAGGCAAGUUUGUUAGGCGUCUGCCCUGCUGCACUGCAGGGUCAGAUAGAGAGGUAGUGAGAGAAAACAUGAUGAUGAUCUUUGAGAUUUGAUUUGGAGGCCGGGACAUGCUUCUGAAGCUGAAGAUUUGGAAGAUCUAACUACUAUUGAUGAAUCGCUUUUCUGGCCGUUUGAGCAGAAAACUGAUUGGAAUUCAGAAGCAAACUGGAAUAACUUUUCCAUGUCACCCCGGAAGGGCAUAAGUAUAACAUGGGCCUUGCUGAGUUUGAUGUACACAAGCGAGUUGAUUCAGAAUUCAACGAAGAUGAUUUCUUACUGCAUGCGUCUCUUUGUUAGUUCGAUUGUAGAACGUUUCUCAUUGCGUAGAUGAAUGAACCACAAAGUGAAAAUCUGGACGCUUAUAACA